AUGUGUCCCAAUAACUAUUGGCAAUAUUUUGUCUGGUGUAGCAAAUUUCUUCCUGGCAAAGAAACCUUCUAUACCGUGGGCCUAGCUGCUACUUGUUGGGCCAUAUGGUUGGCGCGUAACCGAGCUACUUUUGAGAAAAAACAGAUUAAGACUCCUUUUGAGAUUGUUUUCUCCCUUUGCUCGUUUCUUUUAUAUUGGACAGGUUUACAGAAAGGAGAAGCGGCUGGAGAACUUCGCGCAGGUGCAGAGAUGAUCAGGAACGGCAUGCUGCAGCUGAUGAGACUGUGUGACCCUGCCAAGCAAACGAUUCAGACAUGA
rnacentral:rRNA from 1 species